CCUACGGGGCGCAGCAGUGGGGAAUAUUGCACAAUGGGCGCAAGCCUGAUGCAGCCAUGCCGCGUGUAUGAAGAAGGCCUUCGGGUUGUAAAGCACUUUCAGUAGGGAGGAAGGUAGUGUAGUUAACACCUGCAUUAUUUGACGUUACCUACAGAAGAAGCACCGGCUAACUCCGUGCCAGCAGCCGCGGUAAUACGGAGGGUGCAAGCGUUAAUCGGAAUUACUGGGCGUAAAGCGCACGCAGGCGGUUUGUUAAGUCAGAUGUGAAAUCCCCGGGCUCAACCUGGGAACUGCAUCUGAUACUGGCAAGCUUGAGUCUCGUAGAGGGGGGUAGAAUUCCAGGUGUAGCGGUGAAAUGCGUAGAGAUCUGAAGGAAUACCAGUGGCGAAGGCGGCCCCCUGGACAAAGACUGACGCUCAGAUGCGAAAGCGUGGGGAGCAAACAGGAUUAGAUACCCGGGUAGUC
rnacentral:rRNA from 1 species